rnacentral:rRNA from 1 species
AGAGUUUGAUCCUGGCUCAGAACGAACGCUGGCGGCGUGCCUAACACAUGCAAGUCGUACGAGAAAAUCCGCUUCGGCGGGUGAGUAGAGUGGCGCACGGGUGAGUAACGCGUGGAUAAUCUGCCUUUAAGCUGGGAAUAACUCACCGAAAGGUGGGCUAAUACCCGAUAAUGCUAUGGGACUUCGGUUUUAUAGCCAAAGAGAGCCUCUACAUGUAAGCCUUCACUUAAAGAUGAGUCCGCGUACCAUUAGCUAGUUGGUAGGGUAAUGGCCUACCAAGGCGACGAUGGUUAGCUGGUCUGAGAGGAUGAUCAGCCACACUGGAACUGAGACACGGUCCAGACUCCUACGGGAGGCAGCAGUGAGGAAUAUUGCGCAAUGGGGGCAACCCUGACGCAGCAACGCCGCGUGAGUGAGGAAGGUCUUCAGAUCGUAAAGCUCUGUCGGGUGGGAAGAAGUGUGCGUAUGUUAAUAGCUUGUGCACUUGACGGUACCGCCAGAGGAAGCAUCGGCUAACUCCGUGCCAGCAGCCGCGGUAAUACGGGGGGGGCGAGCGUUGUUCGGAAUCAUUGGGCGUAAAGAGCGCGUAGGCGCCUAGACAAGUCACAUAUGAAAUCCCUCCGCUCAACAAAAAAAGCGCACCCGAAACUGCUUAGCUUGAGUAAACAAGAGGGAAGGGGAAUUUCUGGUGUAGAGCUGAAAUGCGUAGAUAUACGGAGGAACACCAGUGGCGAAAGCGGCUUCCUGGACCGAUCAUGACGCUCAGACGCGAAAGGUAGGGGAGCAAACGGGAUUAGAGACCCCGGUAGUCCUAGCUGUAAACGAUGUGAACUUGGCGUCGGUGGGUUUAAAUCCAUCGGUGCCGUAGCUAACGCGAUAAGUUCUCCGCCUGGGGAGUACGGCCGCAAGGUUAAAACUCAAAGGAAUUGACGGGGGCCCGCACAAGCGGUGGAGCAUGUGGUUUAAUUCGACGCAACGCGAAAAACCUUACCUGGGUUUGACAUGCCGAGUACCCGAUGGAAACAUUGGGGUGCCCCGUAAGGGGAACUUGGACACAGGUGCUGCAUGGCUGUCGUCAGCUCGUGCCGUGAGGUGUUGGGUUAAGUCCCGCAACGAGCGCAACCCUCACCCUUAGUUGCCAUCAUUAAGUUGGGCACCCUAAGGGAACUGCCGCAGUUAAUGCGGAGGAAGGUGGGGAUGACGUCAAGUCCUCAUGGCCCUUAUAUCCAGGGCUACACACGUGCUACAAUGGACGGUACAAAGGGUCGCGAACCUGUAAGGGGGAGCUAACCCCAGAAAACCGCUCUCAGUUCGGAUUGGAGUCUGCAACCCGACUCCAUGAAGUUGGAAUCGCUAGUAAUCGCGGAUCAGAACGCCGCGGUGAAUACGUUCCCGGGCCUUGCACACACCGCCCGUCA